AACAUUUGAAAAUUCUCAGUGAAAGUCCCAUAUUUUUUGGAUCAAUAUUAAAUUUAUUAUGAAUUAUUGAAAAUAAUGAAGUUAAAUGAAAAAUCAGAAAUUACAAAAAAAUGUGGACCAUCAGAUCUCCCUCUUUAAUUGAGGUGGCAGAUCUAAUGAUCGAAAACACGCGUUUCACGUGUUCCUUAGUCAACAGCGUGGCAAAAUGAG
rnacentral:lncRNA from 1 species